rnacentral:rRNA from 1 species
UACAGAGGUCUCAAGCGUUGUUCGGAUUCAUUGGGCGUAAAGGGUGCGUAGGUGGCGCCAUAAGUCAGGUGUGAAAUCUCGGGGCUUAACUCCGAAACUGCAUUUGAUACUGUGGUGCUUGAGGACUGGAGAGGAGACUGGAAUUCACGGUGUAGCAGUGAAAUGCGUAGAGAUCGUGAGGAAGACCAGUGGCGAAGGCGGCUACCUGGCCCACUCUUGACGCUGAGGCGCGAAAGCUAGGGGAGCAAACGGG